rnacentral:rRNA from 1 species
GACGAACGCUGGCGGCGGGCUUAACACAUGCAAGUCGAACGGAAGGGCCCUGCUUUCGUCGGGUGCUCGAGUCGCAAACGGGUGAGUAACAUAUGAGUAUCCUUGCCUGUGCGUUGGGAUGACUGCAGGCAACUGCGGCUAAUACCUGAGAGGAGCUCCUGCUGCAGGGUGGUGGUUGGAAAGUUUCGUCGGAUGGGGGUGUACGUAGGUCUUAUCAGCUUGUUGGUGGGGGAAAGGCUUACCAAGGCGUCGAUCCGUAGCCGGUCUGAGAGGAUGAUCAGUCACACUGGAACUGAGACACGGUCAAGACUCCUACGGGAGGCAGCAGUGGGGAAUAUUGGACAAGGGGCGGAAGCCUGAUCCAGCCAUGCCGCGUGUGUGAAGAAGGUCUUCGGAUUGUAAAGCACUUUAAGUUGGGAGGAAGGGCAGUAAGUUAAUACCUUGCUGUUUUGACGUUACCAACAGAAUAAGCACCGGCUAACUUCGUG